CAUGCGGUGCUGCUUUUCCCGUCCGCAGAUGGCAGGCAGACCCGCACCGCUCUUCUUCUGCACCCCUCCCUGCCCUACGGCAAAUCUCCGCUCGGUCUUCUGCACCCAUCCACUUCUUCUACCCUUCACUUUCUCCUCUUCCCAAAUCUAUUCUCCCAAAGUACCUCAACCGAAUCGGCCAAAUCGCAACCCAAGCAGCCAGAUCGGCGACUCCAUGGCGGCCGCCGCCGCUUGGGGAGAAGAUCCUAUUUGCGCAGUGCCACCCUUGGACGCUGGGCGCGUGUUGCCUUCUAGUCGGACCGGGGGCGCUGUGCGUUUGCUGGGUACAGCCAUGGCUGUAUGGAUCGUCUCCGCCGUAUAAGUCUCUGCUGUAUGGACUCCGAAGGGAACGCGGUAGACUGAUGGCAGAACAAAAUUUUGAAUAUAUAAGGCCUGGAUAGAGCAGAUUGAAGGCAGUCAGAAUUAAUAAGGACGAAUAUAUGAACGAGUCUGGAUAGAGCAGAUUGAAGGCAGUCAGGAUUAAUAAGGACGAAUAUAUGAACCAGUCUGGAUAGAGCAGAUUUGAAGGCAGUCGGGAUUAAUAAGGACGAAUAUAUGAACGAGUCUGGAUAGAGCAGAUUGAAGGCAGUCAAGAUUAAUAAGGAUCGAUAUAUGAACCAGCCAAUCUCCAAACGACGCUGUCCAGUGGCUCCGGAGGUCGGCGGCGGCAGCAUGAUUCCAGUUGAGGUGCUGCAGUUCGAGAUCCUCGUGCGCCUUCCUGUGAAGUCUUUUGUGCGCUUCAAAUCCGUCUGCAAGGUGUGGUGCACCACCAUAGCCAGCGCUGAUUUCGUCCGCCUGCACUUAGAGCUUGCAAGAGCUCGCUCAUCAUCCAUGAUCUUAAUCCCCCGGAAGUUCCAGCCAGAACCGAAGAAGUUGGGCUCUCGGUUCGUGCACAUCUACAGCUUCCAGCCAGCGGUGCAGAGCAAUGUCGCCAAGCUCAUUAUGAGGAACAAGCCUCUUUCCCAUGGCAUCCCACGAUUCACCAUCCCCUUGCACUGUGACGGACUUGUUCUGAUCCCCAGCAUCACAGGGCACAUAUUUGUGUGCAACCCGGCCACCAAGGAGUUUGUUGAGUUGCCACGGGCACCCGGAAUGUGUUGUUGGAACAAAGGGUCGCCUUUGGCUUCGAUCCUUCUAGUGGUACGUAUAAGGUGGCUAGGCACUUCUUGCGCUCAUACAGUGAAGGGUAAAUACGUACAGAAUUCGACGUUGGACAUGAGGUCUUAAUGCUUGGCGAUGGCAGGGACACGUUGGAAUGGAAAGCAACCAUUGAUCCACCUUACCCUAUCCAGGCCAGGACUCCUAUUUGCUUGCCAGGAUUCUUCUAUUGGAGUGCGGUCCAGUCCGUGGCUGACCCUGAUCAGGGUAAGCUCGACAUAGAUGUUAUCCUUCGAUUCAGCAUGUGUGAUGAUACAUUCACUGUGCACCCUAAUCCUCCAUGCAGGAGCUGCCUAAGUACUAAUGACUUUAUGUGUGAGUUAGGUGGCAAGCUGUGCUAUGUCCACUCCCCUUCCCCGUUUGAAGUCUCCAUUUGGUUAGCACAAAAUGGACAAAACAUAAUAAAAUGGUCGCUACGUUGUCGUGUUAAUCUGCCCAUACCAAGGGGUGCUCGUGUUUUAGCUUGUGCUUCAGCUGAUGAGGACACAAUAUUCCUCUCUGUGGAUGCUCGGGAUCUUUUCAAGUGCAACCUCCAUGAUGUCUUGAAACAGUAGUCAAUAUGCGACAUGACCUAUGGUAUCACCACGAGGAAGGGGUAAAGUUUGUCCAUGGUUCCCUCCCUUUUUUGCAUUACAUGCUGCCAUAUGUGGAAUCUUUGCUGCGUAUUGGACCAUGCUAGCCACCUGACGUAUGUUAUCAAUACCAAUAAAAGAAAGGUUAUGUUUGAAUGUGUCUUUUAUGUUAUCAACAGCCCGUGGGAAGUCUCCAUUUGGUUACCAUAAGAUGGACAAAACAUAUAACAUGCUGCCUGUUCGGCUGAAAAAAACGGUUGAUGCUGAUUUACUGUGAGAGAAAAAUACUGUUAUUGUGUUGAAAUGGUAUGCCUGAUAAAUUCAAGCGAACAGAGCCCUAUGUUGCCGUGUCAAUCUGCCCGUACCAAGGAUUCUCCGUGUUUUUGCUUGUGCUUCAGCUGAUCAAGACAUGGUAUUCCUCUCCGUAGAUGCCCGACUCCUUUUCAAGUGCAAGCUCCGUGAUGGAUCUCUUAAAAUAAUAGUCAGUAUGCCAUAUGGCCUGCCGUAUGACCCUGGGGAAGGGGUAAAUUUUAUCCAUGGUUCACUCUCUUUUUCGCAUUACAUGGUGCCAUAUGUGGAAUCUUUGCUCCGCUUGGACCAUGCUAGCCAGCUGAUUGCAUGUUAUCAAUACCAAUAAAAGAAAGGGUAUGUUUGAAUGUGUCUUGUAUGUUAUCAACAGAUGUGGGUGUGUUGGAAGCUGUUUGUAAAAAAAUACUAUCCUAUUUUUUCGACAAAUAAUAAUAUUACUAUUAUUAAUUCA